UCCUACGGGAGGCAGCAGUAGGGAAUAUUGGACAAUGGGGGAAACCCUGAUCCAGCCAUGCCGCGUGAGUGAUGAAGGCCUUAGGGUUGUAAAGCUCUUUUAACGGGGAAGAUAAUGACGGUACCCGUAGAAUAAGCCCCGGCUAACUUCGUGCCAGCAGCCGCGGUAAUACGAAGGGGGCUAGCGUUGCUCGGAAUCACUGGGCGUAAAGCGCACGUAGGCGGACUCUUAAGUCGGGGGUGAAAUCCUGGAGCUCAACUCCAGAACUGCCUUCGAUACUGGGAGUCUUGAGUCCGGGAGAGGUGAGUGGAACUGCGAGUGUAGAGGUGAAAUUCGUAGAUAUUCGCAAGAACACCAGUGGCGAAGGCGGCUCACUGGCCCGGUACUGACGCUGAGGUGCGAAAGCGUGGGGAGCAAACAGGAUUAGAUACCCUUGUAGUC
rnacentral:rRNA from 1 species